AUGAGCUUGUCUAUCCCUUUGCUAAGAUGCUUGGGGAAGGAACAAGUUGUUUACACUCUCUUGGAAAUACAUGAAGGAAUACCGGCAAUACGGAACGUACACCAUGGUAACAAGAUUGGUGAAAAGAGAUCGAAGAAUCAGAGAGCGUCAAGACUUACCUACCAGAGUGAUUCCAGUGAUUCUUCAAAAGCUGCGAAACCAAUAGAAGUCCAGAGAAUCUUGAUUAAGGACUAG